AACACUUUUAAGAGCUCUCCAAACUGAAAACAACUUCUUGCACUGACAUAUCUUAAAAUACAUCAGUGCCCUUUGUUUUACCUCAAAAUGCACACAGGUAAUGUUUUUAGUAAGGCAUGUUUGUUAAAACUAGUUAUAUUUCCUAAUUAAACUAAGGCCUAGUCCUGGAUUAAGCUAAUCCUGCUCCGGGAAACCGCCCCUAAAUGUCUAACAAACGUAUAAAGGGAUGCAAACGUUUACGUGAUUCAUGUGUAAUGUAAUGCGUUAUAUUGUCCGUGUGACAUAAAUUGAUAUUAAAUUAGCUGUUUUCUAUAAGGUUAAGAAUUACUGUGAUCAUAUUAUAAUGAAGUAAUCGAACUUGGUUAUCUGGUCUUCCUGAUGUUAGAACAUUUAUUUAAAAAAUAAUAUUUAUUUGAAAAUGUAUUUCUGUAAUGUUUAAUUUUAUUUUUUUGUGAAAGUGUAUCAGGUCUGUGUUCAUCAAGACCUGAAGACUCUGGAGUGGGACAAAAGAAGGAUGAUGGGGUGUAUAUUCCAAUAGACACAUUAAGUCACAUUGUGAUUUCAGUGAAAGCUGAUAAAUACAGAGGGCUGGACAGUGGUUUCAUUCAUUAGGUAAAGAGGUGGGACAAUGAUGCUGACAGGACAGGAGGAGGUGACAUUCAGACAUUCAACGCAGACAUUUUCAUCCAAAGCAACUUGAGGAAGAAAACAGAAGCAGUUCAUCCUAAAAGUGGGCUGCUGUAAUGUUUACAUCUAUGGAAAGAGGAGCUAAGAAGAAAAGAGAGGCUGGAAAGCAGUACUUCUUGUUGGGGACAAUCCUGAAUAGGAACACUUUCUCAUACACAUAGAUUAUUAUUAGUGUUUGAUUUU